AAUUUGCGUGAGUGAUGGCAGUGGAGCUCUUUUUUCUGUUCAAUUACCUCGGGUCCAAAUCCGGGGUAAUUGAACAGAAAAAAAGCGGAAACGUACAGCACGACCCGAA
rnacentral:sRNA from 1 species